UACGGAGGGUGCAAGCGUUAUCCGGAUUCACUGGGUUUAAAGGGUGCGUAGGCGGAAUUGUAAGUCAGUGGUGAAAUCCGGCAGCUCAACUGCCGAAUUGCCAUUGAUACUGCUUUUCUUGAGUACAGUUGAAGUGGGCGGAAUAUGUCAUGUAGUGGUGAAAUACUUAGAUAUGACAUAGAACACCGAUUGCGAAGGCAGCUCACUAAACUGCUACUGACGCUCAGGCACGAAAGUGUGGGGAUCAAACAGG
rnacentral:rRNA from 1 species